GUGCAGUACAUGAUUUUGAUUGAGAUCACCCCCAGUUAAUGGUGGGGUUCGUCCCAUCCUGAGCAUCUGAGAUCACUCCCAGUUAAUGAUUGGGUUCGUCCUAUCCUGAGCAUCACUCCCAGGUAAUGGUGGGGUUCGUCCCAUCCUGAGCACCUGAUAUCACUCCCAGGUAAUGGUGGGGUGCGUCCCAUCCUGAGCACUUGAGAUCACUCCUAGGUAAUGGUGGGGUUCGUCCCAUCCUGAGCACCCGAGACCACUACCAGUUACAGGUGGGGCUCGUCCCAUCCUGAGCACCUGAGAUCACUCCACGUUAAUGGUGGGGUUCGUCCCAUCCUGAGCACCUGAGAUCACUCCCAGUUAAUGGUGGGAUUCGUCCAUUCCUGAGCACCUGAGAUCACUCCCAGUUAAUGGUGGGGUUCGUCCCGUCCUGAGCACCCGAGAUCACGCCCAGUUAUUGGUGGGGUUCGUCCCAUCAUGAGCACCUGAGAUCACUCCCAGUUAAUGGUGGGGUUAAUCCCGUCCUGUGCACCUGAGAUCACGCCCAGUUAAUGGUGGGGUUCGACCCAUCCUGAGCCCCUGAGAUCACUCCCAGUUAAUGGUGGGGUUCGACCCAUCCUGAGCACCUGAGAUCACCCCCAGGUAAUGAUGGCGUUGUCAGCUUAUGAGUUUGAAUAUGCCUUUGGUAUCUUUCACCUCGGUUCUGAUUUUGUGAAUGGUUGGACUGUCAGACUCACCGUGUUGAUGCUGCUUUGAUUUUAUUGCACAAAGAAUAAGGACAAGUACAUGUUAAGGGUAUAAGUAGUAGAUCUGUUUUAUAAACAUAUAUACAAGUAGAAGAUAUAACUAAAACACAAAUAGCGCUUCAGUAAUCACAUCAAC
rnacentral:lncRNA from 1 species